rnacentral:rRNA from 1 species
AGAGUUUGAUCCUGGCUCAGGAUGAACGCUAGCGGCGUGCCUUAUGCAUGCAAGUCGAACGGUCUUAAGCAAUUAAGAUAGUGGCGAACGGGUGAGUAACGCGUAAGUAACCUACCUCUAAGUGGGGGAUAGCUUCGGGAAACUGAAGGUAAUACCGCAUGUGGUGGACCGACAUAUGUUGGUUCACUAAAGCCGUAAGGCGCUUGGUGAGGGGCUUGCGUCCGAUUAGCUAGUUGGUGGGGUAAUGGCCUACCAAGGCUUCGAUCGGUAGCUGGUCUGAGAGGAUGAUCAGCCACACUGGGACUGAGCCACGGCCCAGACUCCUACGGGAGGCAGCAGCAAGGAAUCUUGGGCAAUGGGCGAAAGCCUGACCCAGCAACGCCGCGUGAGGGAUGAAGGCUUUCGGGUUGUAAACCUCUUUUCAUAGGGAAGAAUAAUGACGGUACCUGUGGAAUAAGCUUCGGCUAACUACGUGCCAGCAGCCGCGGUAAUACGUAGGAAGCAAGCGUUAUCCGGAUUUAUUGGGCGUAAAGUGAGCGUAGGUGGUCUUUCAAGUUGGAUGUGAAAUUUCCCGGCUUAACCGGGACGAGUCAUUCAAUACUGUUGGACUAGAGUACAGCAGGAGAAAACGGAAUUCCCGGUGUAGUGGUAA